CGGUCCAGCGCGGACGGGACCCAGCUGGGUUGGGCACAUCCCCUCACUCCCGCUGCCGUCACAUGCCCGGUGCCAUGAGUGAGGGUCCAGGGGCGCUCGGGGGUCUCCGGUCUUGCGAAUUUGUAUUAUUUUUGGUUAAUUUGGGCGAUGGCAGCACUGCCAGCGCAUCGGGGAGGGGAGACAGUUUCACACAGCUGAGGAAUAGUCCGAUUCCUAAAAUCUGAGCCACUCGGGGGGAUAUAUGAGGCUCAUUUCCCUCUCUGCGUGGAUACAUGGGAUUUGUAUCCCCCUUGGGUUGCAUAUGUGGGAUUUGUAUCCCCCUUGGGGUGGAUAGAUGGGAUUUAUAUUCCUCUCUAGUUGGAUAUAUGUAAUUUAGAUCUCCCCAGGUGGAUAGAUGGGAUUUAUAUCCCUAUGGAAAGUCUUUUCCUAUUUAUAAUUAAUAAUUAAUGAGCAUUUCUCUAUUGAAGCUUUUCUCCUGGAAAAUGAUCCUUGAAAAGAGCCUGCGAGCUGCCAGCUCAUGCCCAGGCAGGACAAUCUUAGGACAAGCAGUUCCAAAUAUUUACAUGUUGACUCUUUUAACUUUGGAGACAAAUAACCGGAGACAUUUUGGCAACAUGGUGACAGAAUUUAAAAAAACAAAAACCAACAACCCAACAUGAGAAUCUUGGGUUUGUUCCAGCUUUGUGUAAACUCCAUGGAGAAAAUAUUUCCUGUUUCAGGAUCAAAUGGGGAGAGGUCAUCCAAGGAGUUUGUCUGGUCUUUUAGGAAAGGGUUAAAACGGGGUUGGAAAGACUGGAUAUUGUGAGUGCAGGAAUGGAGGAAAAAUGGGAGAGAAAAAGGAAAACCGGUGAAGGAUUAUUUAUUUUUGUUCCAGAUCCAUGGGAUGUGGAUGGAAGCAGUUCAUGUUCUUCACAGUGGAGCUUGAAGGGCUGACCUAAGGUUCAUGUUGAUGGACAGUUGUCCAUCAGUGGUGAGAACAAGGAGUUGAGAAUUCACUGAGGGAAGACAGGAGAAUAUUAAAGGCAGGAGAGCAGCCCCAGCCCCCAUCCAUAGUUGCCUAAAUCUGUACCAGAUCGCCUUCACAGGUCACUAAACAGCGUGUUUUCAACCCUGGAGCCAGUUCCCUCCUCACUGCUGGCUGUGGGUGGCUCUUCCCUGACCAUGUUUGUGUGUCCCUCACUGGUUCUUUUGCAGCUGAAACCCAAAAACAGCCGCUGUGGGCUGUGGCUGCCCCGGGACACCGCUCCUGGACCGUGGCAGUCGUGCUGGGAGCAGGUGCAGCAGGAUUUGGCUCCGGGAUGGUUUGAUAAGGAGCUGCUGGAAAACGCCAGAGACCUGGAGAGCUUCUGCUUGCUUCCUGCUGGGAGGGUUACAUGGGUGCACCUGGGCCAGUUUUCCAUCCCUCCUUCCUGUUAACCCUCCCAAGGAAAAGCAAUGUAGGCACCGAGUGUGGGAGUGCACUUUUUUCCUCCAAAAAGCAGAAUCUGAGGAGACAGGAAGGGACUGAAGCAUUGCAGAGCUCUCCGUGCUUGCGCCGUGGGGCGGCACCGUCCCUCCACCAAAACCUCAGACACAAAAUCUCGCAGUUCCAGAACAGAGACAACGCCUCGUGGAGAGGAUGUCAUUGUCAACACCUGACAGUGUCCUGGUCACCACCCCAGCCACCGUGUCUGGAAUGAGGGAAAAAGGGUUUUUUUUUUGCCAAGAUCCAGCAGUAAAAUCUGCCACAGCAACAGAGCAGCAAGGGAGGGGCACCUUUCCUAAGGGAAAACUCAACACGUGAACCAAAAGAGAGGGAAAAAGGAAGGAAAAGGAGAAAAACAGAAGGAAGAGUGAGACUCUUGUUUUUUGCCAUGAGGGAGCUGCAUCACAGGGAUGCUCUGGGCACCCAGAGCCUGGUGCUGUGUCGGGGGGUUCAGUCCAAGGAGGAAGGUGCAGCUGAAGUCUGCGACGCUCGGAUGCGUUGUGUCAUUUCCCAGCUUUAAUAGGCGGAAGCGAAACAAGAAGGGAAAUUAAUACAACGCAGCCGGUAACUCCCGGUUCUUCCCUGAACAAUGCCUCGUGCCCAGGAGAUUCGCAGGAUUCCUGCGGAAGAGGCUGCAGGGGACAUUGUUUGGAGUUUUCCUUGCAGGAGACGUGAGAUGGAUGGAAAAGCCAAGCCCUCAUGGCAGCAGUGCCCAGCACUCCCUGCAGCACCAUCAGUCCACAGGGAGGUGGAAUGAGCUGCCCAUCCCAUGGGAAUCUGGAGGGAGCGGCUUUGGAGCCGUCCAGGCUGUUGUUGCUGGCUGAUGGAAUUUUUUAGUCUAAAUAAAGUUUUCCUGCUCUUCCCAGCUCCUCUGUAAACAGUGGCAGCAUGGGGGUGGAGGACAGAAUCAGAA